rnacentral:tRNA from 1 species
UGUCCUGUAGAGCAGUGGAUAGCGCAUUGAACUUCUAAUCCAAAGGUCGUGGGUUUGAAUCCCACCUGGAUGG